AAAAACCAAACCAUUUUCAGGAUCCUCUCGGUCACCAUGGGUUAUUCUGGAGACUGGAUGGUCAGUGAAGGCUGGAGCCACAGGUGUCGUCUGAGCUGCCAUGAGGUUGAGGAGAGAGAUGGAAAUUAGUCAAGGGUCCAAACAGGAAGCCUAGCCCUGCCAGGAAGUCAAGGCGUCACUCUAGGUACUGAAUCGAUAAGGGAUUGUUAAACAGGAAAGUGACCUGGGAGACUUGCAUGUAGAGGGCUCUGGUGCCUGGGCAAUUGGGGAGAGAGGUGCUGCGCAGAAGACUGUCCGUCACAGAGCCCCUGCCUUUCUCCGGAGAAGAGAGGACACUUGUGUUGCUUUGACGGUCGUCUUGCUGGGCGUGCAACUGUAUUGGACAUUCCAGGGACAAGGGAAGCCCGUGAGAACUGCAGGCAGGUGCAUAACUGGUGUUUGACAAUAAUCAGAAUGUCAUCCGAAGCUGAGAAAUUCGGCAUUUCUCAGCCGGCUUCUUUAGUCCCGGGCUCCAGCAGAGAAUGGCCGCUAGAGGGCGCUCCUUCCUCUCUCUUCCAUCACUCGUUUGCUUUCGACAUUUUACACCAGUAUCCAGCAGGAGGUUUUCCAGAGUUUUGAACCCGUAUGCCAGCACCUACGAAAAUGCUCAUUGAUUCACUUCAAGUCAUUUAUUCCAUUAAAAUUACCCCUCUAAUGCCAGUUUUUAAAUUUUUAAAAAUUUUAUUUUUACGUGUAUGAGUGUUUUGCCUGCUUAUGUCUGUGC
rnacentral:lncRNA from 1 species